GACGAACGCUGGCGGCGUGCUUAACACAUGCAAGUCGAACGGAAAGGCCCUGCUUGCAGGGUACUCGAGUGGCGAACGGGUGAGUAACACGUGGGUGAUCUGCCCUGCACUUCGGGAUAAGCUUGGGAAACUGGGUCUAAUACCGGAUAGGAACCAUCUUUAGUGUGGUGGUUGGAAAGUUUUUUCGGUGUAGGAUGAGCUCGCGGCCUUUCAGCUUGUUGGUGGGGUAAUGGCCUACCAAGGCGGCGACGGGUAGCCGGCCUGAGAGAGUGUACGGCCACAUUGGGACUGAGAUAGGGCCCAGACUCCUACGGGAGGGAGCAGUGGGGAAUAUUGCACAAUGGGCGCAAGCCUGAUGCAGCGACGCCGCGUGGGGGAUGAAGGCCUUCGGGUUGUAAGCUCCUUUCGCUAGGGACGAAGCGUUGUUGUGACGGUACCUAGAUAAGAAGCACCGGCUAACUACGUG
rnacentral:rRNA from 1 species